CUUUUCCUUACAACCUUGUGGUAUUUUCUCAAUCAUAUUUCCUGACAAUAAAAUAGCAUUUAAAUUUUUCUAAUAUAUUUAUAUAUGUUAAAUCCCACACAUUACAUUCAUUUCCCCCAUUUAGCUUUUCAGUGAUUUAUUUCACUUUCACGAACACAUUAGUUUCAUUAUUAUUCAUUCAGUCAUUUUUUAUUUAUUUAUUUUUUUUUACAUACUGUGUAUUAGAAUUUUUGGAUACUGAAUUGUUCUGUGGUCUGUUCAUUCACACAAAUAAAACACACAACAUUGUUUAUGUUCAAACAGUUUGUUUAUCAAUACAAAGUUGUGUUUUGUGGAUAUUAGAGGUGGUGGGUGGGCGUGGCCGGGGUGUGUGUAUUAGAGGCAGUGGGUGGGUGUGGCCUGUGUGUGUAUUAGAGGUGGUGGGUGGGCGUGGCCGAGGUGUGUGUAUUAGAGGCAGUGGGUGGGUGUGGCCCGUGUGUAUUAGAGGUGGUGGGUGGGCGUGGCCAGGGCACAUGUAUUAGAGGUGGGUGGGGGUUCGAGGUGGUGGGUGGGCAUGGUCAGAGCCCAUGUGUUAGAGGUGGGUGGGCGUGGCCGGGGCGUGCAGCAGCUCCUGGUUCCCCAGG